GACGGAGGAUGCAAGUGUUAUCCGGAAUCACUGGGCGUAAAGGGAGCGUAGGCGGCGCGGUAAGUCAGAUGUGAAAUCCCGGGGCUCAACCCCGGAACUGCAUCCGAUACUGCCGUGCUAGAGGAUUGGAGAGGUAGCUGGAAUUCUUGGUGUAGCAGUGAAAUGCGUGGAGAUCAAGAGGAACACUCGUGGCGAAAGCGAGCUACUGGACAAUAUCUGACGCUGAGGCUCGAAGGCCAGGGUAGCGAAAGGG
rnacentral:rRNA from 1 species